rnacentral:rRNA from 1 species
UACGUAGGGUGCAAGCGUUAAUCGGAAUUACUGGGCGUAAAGCGUGCGCAGGCGGUGAUGUAAGACAGUUGUGAAAUCCCCGGGCUCAACCUGGGAACUGCAUCUGUGACUGCAUUGCUGGAGUGCGGCAGAGGGGGAUGGAAUUCCGCGUGUAGCAGUGAAAUGCGUAGAUAUGCGGAGGAACACCGAUGGCGAAGGCAAUCCCCUGGGCCUGCACUGACGCUCAUGCACGAAAGCGUGGGGAGCGAAACAGGAUUGAGAAACCCCGG